rnacentral:lncRNA from 1 species
ACAGUAUGUCAUACUGCAAAAAUAGCUUUACAGACCCACCAAGCUAGCUGAUGAAAAAGCAUUAUCCUUUUUCAAAAACCACUAAUACUAAUCUAAAACUGUCAAAGAAUAUUUUAAUAGCUUCUUCUUUAAUUUUUUAUAUUCAUCUUCAAGUGCUUGCUUUAUUUAUUAUACAAUUUCAUGAUGUAAUUGCACAAGUACCAAUAUUUGUUUUUAUUAUAAAAGCAUGUAAUGUACAUUUUGUUCUUCCUACCAAUACAAAGUUUCAUCUCAUCAAACACACGGCAUCUCUACUAGUCUUCAAUGGCAGCUCAAGGUACAACAAUUCAAUUAUCUCUCUCUCUCUCUCUCUCUCUCUCUCUCUCUCUCUCUCUCUCUCUCUCUCUCUAGUUUGUUACAUGUAUUAUGUAUCUAUUCUUCUAUCUUCUCAAACAAAAUAACUUCUUCUAUACUUUACUUAUAUUAUUGUUGUUCAUAAUAAAAUACUAUAUCAACAAAUUCAGUUGCAAAAUUUGACAUAAUUUGUUUUCUUGCAUCACAGUUUUCACCAAUAUUCAAUCAACAAGAUAGUUAAUGCUACAACUUGUUAUAAAGCUGCAUUCAUUCCUCUGCUUUGUUUCUGACAUUUCAAGACUCAAACAAGGAUUCUCUCAUCUUUUGGCCUCUUGGAUUGGUGUUUCUAGUUCUUCUUGCAGCUAUAUAUAUCAGCUGCAUCCGGUAAGUUCAUCUGUUCAAAAUUCAUUUUUGCACUUACGAUAAAUUAUGAAACACCGAUAUAGACACGGACAUCAGAAAUGAACAUCAGACAUGUUAUUGACACUGACAGAGUUACACAUGUAGACACUUGUAACAAUUU